rnacentral:rRNA from 1 species
GACGAACGCUGGCGGCGUGCUUAACACAUGCAAGUCGAACGGAAAGGCCCUGCUUUUGUGGGGUGCUCGAGUGGCGAACGGGUGAGUAACACGUGAGUAACCUGCCCUUGACUUUGGGAUAACUUCAGGAAACUGGGGCUAAUACCGGAUAGGAGCUCCUGCUGCAUGGUGGGGGUUGGAAAGUUUCGGCGGUUGGGGAUGGACUCGCGGCUUACCAGCUUGUUGGUGGGGUAGUGGCUUACCAAGGCUUUGACGGGUAGCCGGCCUGAGAGGGUGACCGGCCACAUUGGGACUGGGAUACGGCCCAGACUCCUACGGGAGGCAGCAGUGGGGAAUAUUGCACAAUGGGCGGAAGCCUGAUGCAGGAACGCCGCGUGCGGGAUGACGGCCUUCGGGUUGUAAACCGCUUUCGCCUGUGACGAAGCGUGAGUGACGGUAAUGGGUAAAGAAGCACCGGCUAACUACGU